rnacentral:rRNA from 1 species
UACGAAGGGGGCUAGCGUUGUUCGGAUUUACUGGGCGUAAAGCGCACGUAGGCGGAUCGUUAAGUGAGGGGUGAAAUCCCAGGGCUCAACCCUGGAACUGCCUUUCAUACUGGCGAUCUCGAGUCCGGAAGAGGUGAGUGGAACUCCUAGUGUAGAGGUGGAAUUCGUAGAUAUUAGGAAGGACACCAGUGGCGAAGGCGGCUCACUGGGCCGGUACUGACGCUGAGGUGCGAAAGCGUGGGGAGCAAACAGG